ACUACUUUCUCUUUCCACUUUCGUACCCAAUUGUCUUUCUCUCUCUAAAACUUAGUUUUUUUUCUUCUUCCAAUUUUCCGUUUCUAAUAUCCAAAACCCUCUGUAUUUGUAAAUUCAUAUAUGAUCAGCGUUGUGUUAAGCAAUUGAAAAUUUAAUUCCUUCGUUUAGCAAUGGGUUCUACUUCAAUGGACGCCGGAGGAAGUUCUCCGGUACCGGAACCAACACCGUCGCCGGUGGCUAGCGCAAAUACGCUACCACCUUUUUUGAUGAAGACUUAUGAUAUGGUUGAUGACCCGAGUACUGACAAGAUCGUUUCAUGGAGUCCUACCGACAGUAGCUUUGUGAUUUGGGAUCCACCGGAGUUCGCCAAGGAGUUACUGCCUAAGUAUUUCAAGCACAGUAACUUCUCCAGUUUCGUUCGUCAGCUGAACACUUAUGGCUUUAGAAAGGUUGGUUCGGACAACUGGAAAUUUUCUAAUGAUGGAUUCCUAAGAGGUCAAAAGCAUCUGCUUAAAAAUAUUAGCAGGCGCAAGCCUGCUCAUGGACAGAGUCAGCAGCAGCAGCAGCAACUGCAUGGUCAGAGUGCGUCGGUUGGGGCUUGUGUCGAAGUUGGAAAUUUUGGGCUUGAGAAAGAGGUUGAGUGGCUGAAGAGGGACAAGAAUGUGCUUAUGCAGGAGUUGGUUAAGCUGAGACAACAUCAGCAGACUACCGAUAAUCAGAUGCAAACCAUGGUGCAGAACCUUCAGAUUAUGGAGCAGCGGCAGCAACAGAUGAUGUCUUUCCUGGCAAAAGCUGUUAACAGCCCUGGAUUCUUGGCACAGUUUGUACAGCAGCAAAAUGACAACAAUAAGCGCAAGAUGGAAGGAAACAAGAAACGUAGGAUUAGACAGGAUAUUCCUUCAGAUGAUCAUUCUGUUAGCCCUGCUGAUGGACAACUUGUAAAGUACCAACCUAUAAUGAAUGAGGCAGCGAAAGGAAUGCUCAGGCAGAUACCGAAACUAGAUUCUUCUCCUAGGUUAGAGAACUUCAGCAACAGUCCUGAAAGUUCACCGAUUGGUGAUGCAUUCGAUGGCAGAAGUAACAAUCGGAUUUCAGGAGUCACUCUUCAGGAAGUUUCACCUGCUUUUUCGCAGCCAUUUGCAAGUGCAACUUCAGCUAUUGCAGGACAAAGUUCAUUGUCUGCCAACAUUCAGUUUUCAGAGAGCAGUUCCCUGGUUGGAGCUCAAGAUUUGCCACCUAUUUUACCAUUUUCGUCAGAUAUGAUUAUGCCUGUGCCCUCACAGUUAGAAGAAAUUGUGCCUGAAAACAAUAUGGAUAUUAAUGGAACAGAGAGGGGCCAUGAUUCUUUCAUGGAUCCCACAUUGUGGGGAAAUGGAGAAUUGCCAUUGGAAAAUGAUAUUUUCCCCCCCGACCUUCAAAUCAAGUGGGAAAGUGCUUUGAUUGACGAUAUUGGAGAGCCUCCUAGUGUGGGUGAUCCCUCCUGGGAAAAGUUUCUUCAAAGCCUAUACCCUACUGAGACAGAAGAGAUGGGCUCGGUUGAAAUAGAAAAUAUUAAGACUACUGAAGCAGAGCCGCUAGAAAAUGGAUGGUACAAUGUUCAGCACAUGGAAAAUCUUACUGAGCAAAUGGGGCUACUAACAUCAAACGCUAAAAAAGUAUGAUCAGUCACCGAAGAGAUGUACCUGAGGUAAUCCAGAAAUCUCAUCUCUUAGUCGAUUGGUUCACGGGAAACUUCCCAUAAGAUAGUAGAUCUAAUACCUAUUUUCACCUUUGUCACUGGAUUUCUUUUCAUUUAUGGAAAAGCUUCAUGAUUCAUCUGGAUAAGUCUUAUGGAGUUCACCUCCAUUUUUUUGUUUCUUCCUUGCAUAAAGCUGAAUCGAUCCACCAUGCUAAAUGCCUAAAUCUAUGUCGGACACUUCCUUUUUCCCUUUUUAAUUUCUCCCUGUAUAAGCUCUCUGGUCAUUUAAUAAGUACGUAAAAGUUACAGAACUUUUGAUGUUGUUAACAGGCAGAUGCCUUAACCCUUCUUUAUACUAGUCUGUUAGCAAGUAAUUUAAUACUAGAAUUAAUUAUAUUCUCAG